AAAUUGAAGAGUUUGAUCAUGGCUCAGAUUGAACGCUGGCGGCAGGCCUAACACAUGCAAGUCGAACGGUAACAGGAAGCAGCUUGCUGCUUCGCUGACGAGUGGCGGACGGGUGAGUAAUGUCUGGGAAACUGCCUGAUGGAGGGGGAUAACUACUGGAAACGGUAGCUAAUACCGCAUAACGUCGCAAGACCAAAGAGGGGGACCUUCGGGCCUCUUGCCAUCGGAUGUGCCCAGAUGGGAUUAGCUAGUAGGUGGGGUAACGGCUCACCUAGGCGACGAUCCCUAGCUGGUCUGAGAGGAUGACCAGCCACACUGGAACUGAGACACGGUCCAGACUCCUACGGGAGGCAGCAGUGGGGAAUAUUGCACAAUGGGCGCAAGCCUGAUGCAGCCAUGCCGCGUGUAUGAAGAAGGCCUUCGGGUUGUAAAGUACUUUCAGCGGGGAGGAAGGGAGUAAAGUUAAUACCUUUACUCAUUGACGUUACCC
rnacentral:rRNA from 1 species